rnacentral:rRNA from 1 species
UAGGGAAUCUUCGGCAGUGGGGGCAACCCUGACCGAGCAACGCCGCGUGAGUGAAGAAGGUUUUCGGAUCGUAAAGCUCUGUUGUAAGAGAAGAACGUGUGUGAGAGUGGAAAGUUCACACAGUGACGGUAACUUACCAGAAAGGGACGGCUAACUACGUGCCAGCAGCCGCGGUAAUACGUAGGUCCCGAGCGUUGUCCGGAUUUAUUGGGCGUAAAGCGAGCGCAGGCGGUUUAAUAAGUCUGAAGUUAAAGGCAGUGGCUUAACCAUUGUUCGCUUUGGAAACUGUUAAACUUGAGUGCAGAAGGGGAGAGUGGAAUUCCAUGUGUAGCGGUGAAAUGCGUAGAUAUAUGGAGGAACACCGGUGGCGAAAGCGGCUCUCUGGUCUGUAACUGACGCUGAGGCUCGAAAGCGUGGGGAGCAAACAGG